GCCCCGACCCGGCCCCGCCCGUGCCCGCCCCGCGCACCUGGACGGGCCCCUCCCCUCGCACCUGUGGGGGCCCUGCCCCGCCCCGGCCCCGCCCCGGCCCCGCCCCGCCCGCGCCCCUCAAAAGCGGCAGAGCCGCGCCUGCCCUGCUGUUGUGGAGGAAACUCGUCCCGGGAUGCGGCGGGAGCGAUCGGUGCUCGGGGCCGGAGCCCCGGCCCGGGGGCUGCUCCCGGCGCUGCGCAGAGCCCGGGCCGCCGAGCGGGGACGGCCCCGGAGAGCGAGGCUGGCGAUGGAGCUCGGCAUCAGGACCGGCCCCGGAGGAUCGAGGCGGCCCCAGGAGCUGGCACUGACCGUGCCGCGGGUCGGGCACAGGCUGCUCCCGGCUCUGCCCGCGGAACUUUGGCAAUUACCCACAGCAGUUCUUUGCCCUGCUCUCCCGAAGGGGCAGCUCAUCUGACACCUGCCAGACGGGGAGGGUCCUGCCUGGGAGGGAACGGCUACAGGAGAGGAAACCAAGAAAUGCUCCAACCGGACGCUGCCGCGCGAGUCAAAGGAGGGAAGGACCACAGGGAAAUCGAGUCAGGAAAUGCGCUUUUAUUCAAUCUCUGCAGCUCUCCCUCCUCUGCACGAGCCCUUCGCAGCCACGGCCCGAGGGAUUGCGGCCGGCUGGGCUGUGCCCGGCUGGGGACGGGCACCAAUUCAUCACUGCCCUGCUCAGGGAGGUUUUCCGGCCCCGUCCGGGAUUCACCCAACGGCUGCAAAGGUGCUCGGGCGACGUCCGAGCUCAUUUCCAGGGAUAAAGGAGCCAAACGAGCCCAGAGGGAUCCCUCGCUCCGAGGCAAAGGCGUCGGUCGAGUGUCACCGCCUGGUCCCGCCUGCGGGGGGGCGUCUCCUCCAGGGGAUGGAGGAGCUGUGCCCUGGAGCUGUGCCCUACAGCCCCCGUGGGGUGGGCACGGAGAAAGGGCUGCCCGCGGCUCCUCAGCCGGGGGCUGCUCUGGACGGGCCCCCUGAGAUGCCUCACCCUGGACACGCCCCAGCGCCAGCCCAGAAGGACCCAAAGGAUCCAGUUGGCACUCGGCAGUGUCGGCACGGCGGGGCUGCAGAGCAGCGCGGGCAGCCAUUCCCAGGGCCCACCUCCCAGAGCUCCCCCGCGCCCCCCACGUGUGUCCCGCCCGCCCCAAAUCCCUGCCCUUCCAGCCGGAGCCCAGCAGCCAGCAGCAGCCUUAAAGCCAGGGCCAUCUGCCCCCGGCGGCACUAAAUCCCGAGCCAGAGCCCUCGGUGAUGCCUGAAAAGAAAAGGGGAUGCUCGGAGAAAGUUGGGCUUGGAGGCAAUUCGCAGUUGUUCAGGGGCCCAACCGCAACCGCAGAACCCGUGGACAGCUGGAACAGGUGGGUCAGAGCCGAGGUGCCCUGAAGGCAGGGAUGUGCAUCCCUUUGCUCGGGGAAAAGAACUUGCCGGGGCCGCUCCCGGGGCUCCCAAGGGACAGCGGCUUCCCGGCCGGAGAGACGUCCUCGCCCGUGCUCAGGGGCUGCCUCGCCCCGGGCCGGGAGCGCGGCCGGCCCCCGCCUUCUCCUGGGCCAACACAUCCCCUGGAGCCCGGCCCGGGGCGGAGAAUCGGCCCAAUUCCAGCCAACUCGCUCAGGUUCCCCCAGGGACACCAGCGGGGCCGGGGCAGGAGGGUUACAAACAGCAAAGUCUGUGCAACAUCAACCUGUCCUUGUCCCGAUCCCGCUGAGCAAACCUGGAACCGCGGCUGCUUCCUGGCAAACCUGGCCUUAAAGCAGCAGCUCUGCAGGGGAAUAGCCGGGCUCCAGGAGGCACUGGGAGGCUGUUCCAGCAGGAAUUCCCCAUGGAAUUGCAGGCUGUAGGUACAAUUCCUCUAAACCUGCAAAGCUGAGACCGGAACCCAAACCUGGGCCCCCCGCAGAGAACAAUCUUUGUGCUCAGCACACACCCAGAGAGCCAAUCCCAGCAUCUAAAAGAAAAAAAAAAAAAGAAGAAAACAGUGAUUUAUUUUGUUUUAAAGUUCCUUUAAGUCGUUCCAAGCAAAGCCAGCCUUGCUCUGGUUUCAGUUGGGUGAACAGUGCGCGCUG